GACGAACGCUGGCGGCGUGCUUAACACAUGCAAGUCGAACGGAAAGGCCCUGCUUUUGUGGGGUGCUCGAGUGGCGAACGGGAGAGUAACAAGUGAGUAACCUGCCCUUGACUUUGGGAUAACUUCAGGUAACUGGGGCUAAUACCGGAUAGGAGCUCCUGCUGCAUGGUGGGGGUUGGAAAGUUUCGGCGGUUGGGGAUGGACUCGCGGCUUAUCAGCUUGUUGGUGGGGUAGUGGCUUACCAAGGCUUUGACGGGUAGCCGGCCUGAGAGGGUGACCGGCCACAUUGGGACUGAGAUGAGGCACAGACUCCAACGGGAGGCAGCAGUGGGGAAUAUUGCACAAUGGGCGGAAGCCUGGUGCAGCAGCGCCGCGUGCGGGAUAACGGCCUUCGGGUUGUAAACCGCUUUCGCCUGUGACGAAGCGUGAGUGACGGUAAUGGGUAAAGAAGCACCGGCUAACUACGUG
rnacentral:rRNA from 1 species